rnacentral:rRNA from 1 species
GUCAACUAGCUGUUGGGGCCUUCGGGCCUUGGUAGCGCAGCUAACGCGUGAAGUUGACCGCCUGGGGAGUACGGUCGCAAGAUUAAAACUCAAAGGAAUUGACGGGGACCCGCGCAAGCGGUGGAUGAUGUGGAUUAAUUGGAUGCAACGCGAAAAACCUUACCUACCCUUGACAUGUCUGGAAUGCCGAAGAGAUUUGGCAGUGCUCGCAAGAGAACCGGAACACAGGUGCUGCAUGGCUGUCGUCAGCUCGUGUCGUGAGAUGUUGGGUUAAGUCCCGCAACGAGCGCAACCCUUGUCAUUAGUUGCUACGAAAGGGCACUCUAAUGAGACUGCCGGUGACAAACCGGAGGAAGGUGGGGAUGACGUCAAGUCCUCAUGGCCCUUAUGGGUAGGGCUUCACACGUCAUACAAUGGUCGGGACAGAGGGUCGCCAACCCGCGAGGGGGAGCCAAUCCCAGAAACCCGAUCGUAGUCCGGAUCGCAGUCUGCAACUCGACUGCGUGAAGUCGGA